GGUAGCGUGGCCGAGCGGUGUAAGGCGCAGAUGUAAGGCGCCAGACCGAAAACGUGGUUUCGUAUCCCACCGCUGCCA
rnacentral:tRNA from 1 species